GCUAGUCGAAAAGAUUUCUCGUCAACCGAAAUAACCUUUGCCCAUAUGAACAGGCCCUUUAAGACGAAAGGGGUUGUUUUCUCGCAUAAAUUUUGUGCCAUCUUGUAUUCACCCGCCACGAUUUCGAGAGGUAUGGACGCAUCGAACGACAGCUAUUUGCUACGACCUAGCUAGUUACUGCUCUCUUCAGCGACGAACAGUGGUAUAAAAAUUUCCGAGUCAACUAGAGCAACAUUCACAUUCAGUGUUAUUUAAAUUUGUUUUUUAACUUUGUUUUUUUUUAUUUUUGGCAAGUUGUAGUUUUUCCCCGCUUGCUGCCAUGUUGGAAAGAAGACAAUUUGUUUUGCGCAUGCUCGAUGUCGAACAUAUUUUUUAUUUUUUUCGAAAUUUGGGCACGGCACCCCUUGCUAGACGUGCCGAGACUACCUCGUGAGAAAAUUUCCGGAGAACAACCUACUUAUGGAACACAUCAAACGAUUACCCGCCGAAGUUUCAACCCUUUAGUUUAAUUCUUCCUUCUUUUGCCGCCUUCGUAUUUUCGCGCCCGCGUUCUUACUUGUCAUCGAUAUCUAUACUUCAUGUAGAGUGAUAGUAUAAUGGAUUCAAGCAGUUUAAAAUGUUUACAGAAUUUCGAGAGAAGAAAUAAUCGAUUAUCAAGGGAUUCAAGUAGGUUUUUAAAAAUAAAUACAAUAUUAUUUCAAUCAUAACUCAUAGUGGGGCCCCCUGUGGUUGUACCGGCGGUGCAGGUAAAUCACGUGACAGAUUCGUAAAAUAUAAAGAAAAUAUUGAUUUUUCGUCGAAAAUUUACGUAAUUUAGCGCCUUAGAAAAAUAGAUCGAGGUAGAUAAAGCGUUGCUGUUUUUAAUUUACCUUAUAUUCUGUUAUUUUGUUA